ACCUGAAACCGUAUGCAUACAAGCAGUUCGAGGCCUAUGCCGGAAACGCAAGUGCCCGGAAUGGCUGAGAGCGUGCCUGUUGAAGAAUGAUCCGGCGAGUUAUUGGUAGGUGCAAGGUUAAUUAUUAUGUUUAUGCAUAUUAAGCAGCCGUAGCGAAAGCAAGUCUGAAAGGGCGAAUAGUACCUAUCAUUAGACCCGAAGCCAAGUGAUCUAUGCCUGGACAGAGUGAAUCCCCUUUAAUCGGGGGAGGAGGCUCGAAGCGUCGACCGUUGAAAAGGUCUUGCAUGAGCUGGGUAUAGGGGUGAAAGGCCAAUCUAACUUGGUGAUAGCUGGUUCUCCUCGAAAUAGUUUUUGGACUAGCCUGGAGCGUUAAACCAGAGAGGUAGAGCACUGGAUAGUUUAGCGGGUGUAACCCACUUUGCAAUGCUAACCAAACUCCGAAUUCUCUGGCGUAUUUCUCUGGAGUCAGUACGUGUGGGAUAAGCUUCACGUGCAAAAGGGAAACAGCCCAGACCAUCAAUUAAGGUCCCUAAAUAUAUGCUAAGUGGUAAAGGAUGUGGAAUUUCUUAGACAGCUAGGAGGUUGGCUUAGAAGCAGCCAUCCUUUAAAGAGUGCGUAACAGCUCACUAGUCAAGUGAUUCUGCGCCGAAGACACCCGGGGCUCAAGCAUAUUACCGAAAUUAUGGAUUCUAUAGCACAAUAUAGAGUGGUAGAGGAGCGUUCCUGUCGCGCUGAAGGCAUACCGUAAGGAGUGCUGGAGUUACAGGAAGUGAGAAUGUCGGAAUAAGUAGCGAUAAGAGAGGUGAAAAUCCUCUCCGCCGAAAACCUAAGGUUUCCUUGAGUAAAGUUCGUCUGCUCAGGGUCAGUCGAUCCUAAGCCGAGGUCGAAAGACGUAGGCGAUGGGUAUCCGGUUAAUAUUCCGGAACUAUCUUUGGUGCAUAUAAUGUGCUUGGCUACGCUUUUCAGUAGGUCAUCAUCCGAUUGGAAGUGGAUGUUGCUCCGCAAGGAGGAGGACCUGAGACAACUCGGGGAACUGACUGUAUGGAAAGCCAAGAAAAACCCAAACACCUGUGCCAGAGGUAAACGUACCGUAAACGGACACACGUAGGUGGGGUGAAGAUCCUAAGGCGCGCGAGAUAACUUUCGUUUAGGAACUCGGCAUAUUAGCCCCGUAACUUCGGGAUAAGGGGCGCCUGUGGCAACACAGGUCGCAGUGAAAUGGCCCUCGUGACUGUUUAACAAAAACACAGGACUCUGCUGAAAUCGCAAGAUGAUGUAUAGGGUCUGACGCCUGCCCGGUGCUGGAAGGUCAAGGGGAGGAGUUAGCGUAAGUGAGGCUCUGAACUUAAGCCCCAGUAAACGGCGGCCGUAACUAUAACGGUCCUAAGGUAGCGAAAUUCCUUGUCGGGUAAGUUCCGACCUGCACGAAUGGCGUAACAAAGAGGGCACUGUCUCAACGAAAGACUCGGCGAAAUUGUGGUACCCGUGAAGACGCGGGUUGCCUGCGGCUAGACGAAAAGACCCCGUGGAGCUUUACUGUAUCUUAGUCUUGAAUUAUGGGAGUAAAUGCGUAGAAUAGGCGGGACCCUUUGAGGCAUGGCUUUCGGGUUGUGCAGAGGGGCAAUGUGAAAUACCGCUCUUUUAGUUUUGUGAUUCUAACUCUUGUGUUUGAAUCAACAAAGAGAACAUGGCUAGGUGGGCAGUUUAACUGGGGCGGUUGCCUCCUAAAUAGUAACGGAGGCGUUCAAAGGUACCCUCAGGACCAAUAGAAAUGGUCUAUAGAGUGCAAGUGCAGAAGGGUGCUUAACUGCAAGACAAACAGGUCGAGCAGAUGCGAAAGCAGGAACUAGUGAUCCGGCGGUUCAGUGUGGAAUUGCCGUCGCUCAACGAAUAAAAGCUACCCCGGGGAUAACAGGCUUAUUUUCUCCGAGAGUCCAUAUCGACGAGAAAGUUU
rnacentral:rRNA from 1 species